rfam:Roseibium sp. TrichSKD4 genomic scaffold scf_1119120597020, whole genome shotgun sequence.
CUCAUGGGGUUUGCGAAUACCCCGUGAGGCGAUGGCCCAAAUUCGCGUCCUUUUAAUCCUGAAACAUGGAAGGGCGCAUCAUG